rnacentral:lncRNA from 1 species
UGUCACUUGGGUACCAAAGUCAAUAGCAGAAAAAAACCCAAAUGAUAUGAAAUGCCUUUUGUUCAGAAGCUAUUUGUCUUAGAACCACUGCCGACAGUUGUACAACAACAAAAUCAUGGAUAUUUUUCUCAAAACUGCUUCCAGCAUUUGUAUGAUUAUAGAAUCAGUAAUAUUUAUUCAGAAGAUAGAAACUAUUAUCAACAGUUUUACAGUUACCAGAAUCUCAAUUCGCAAAACAAGUGAAAAAUCAGUUAACAAAAAUGACAAUAUAAAUAACAUUUUUUCCAUCUUGUAAUUUUAUUUGUGCAUGUGUACCAUUAUAUUAUUUUUAUACCAAUCAUUACAUAGUGGUAAAGUCAUUUCACCAGAUGCUGAGCCUACUGAUAAAUGAUAAACAGCUACAACAAGUGGUCACAUUCUAUUCAGCAGACUUCAUCCAACCUAUGCAAGCAUGGAAAAAUAUAUAUUAUUAUCACUAUAAUGUUGACUGUGAAGAAAGUAUUAUAAUAUACUACUAGGAAGUUGUUUCUUGACAUAAGACUUCUACAAAUAUCUCUCAGAAUACUGCAACAUCUGCUACAUUUAUUUGUAUCUAACAUGAAUUGUAAUAUUUAGAUCAAGGAUUGGCAGCUGUAUUUUUACAUCUGCAAGGGAGAUUGUGUACUAUCAAGUGAACAGAGGACGAGGAUAAAUACUAACAAGAAUUUGAAAUAUGGAAAUUAUCCAUUGAAAUAUAUCUAAUUGUUAUUUUCAUCAGAUUAGUUCAUGAUACAUGCUAGGGAAUCAUGUUUAAUGAAGGAUACCAAUUAGUAAUCAAUGAACUCAAUUUAAUUAUAAUUUAUUUCCAUCAGGAUAUCUUUCAAGUCUGUUGAAAUGACUCAAAGAAUCUUUGAAACAGAAAAAAAAAAAAAAAACUGAAAAUGAUGCAUUGGGUGGGGAAAAAGAAAAUUAUAUACUUUUAAUGUAAACAGUAGACAACUGUGAAAUUUGAUGGUGUUUGUUACUUGAAAGUUUUUUAAUAUUAGGUGCCAGACUUGUCAAUGCCUACAGCAAGACAUCCAAGUAGGUAUUAGUCAGUUUGGUUCUCAAAUGGUUUUUGAAGUGGUCCCAUUUUUGAAAAUAUGUGCUCAACACAGGUAAGUGUUGCCAAACAAUGUUUUGUUUUUUUUUUUUUGUUUGGUAUGAGUUGUAUGAGUAACUAACUUAGGAUGCUUGCCACUUGUAUCUUGGAUGGAUAGAAUUUCUAUAGAAAGUCAAACUCUGAUACAUCUUCAAUAUGAAAUUUAAAUCUCAGAUGUCAUCAUAUUGCCUCUUAAUCAAUUCAGUUUGAUUAUUUUCUGAUACUGUGUCCAAUAUCAAAUGGUGUAGCAGACAUUGGGUGAAAAUUCAGCUAACAAGAAAAAUAUUCUUUCCUUAAUUCUUGGACCAUAUUCAUAAAAAUGCUUGGAUCUUUUACUCUACUUUUUUUUUAAAUUGGGGAAAUAUUUCAAUUUCUCUAUUAAAUACAACAAUUUGACCAAACAUCUUAAAAGGCAGGGUUUUUUUAAAAAAUUACUUCUUAAAGUUAUUAAAAUUAUCCACAAUAAGUGUCACAAUAAUAUAAAACAUCUAUGCGCUCAAAAAAUAUUACCAUUUCUUCAUUCAAUGAAAAUACUCUUCCCAUCAAUGAUUAUCAGCUUAGCCAAUAUACAUUGAAGAGAAAUAAGCCAAGUCUCCAUAUUCUGCCUCUAUGUCCAACAAAAUCUGUUAAACAAGUAAUGAUUUAACCAAAAGAUAAAGUUUUGUCAACAAUGUCCAGAUAUUGUAACAUGUGGUUCUUCUAAUUUGUUGUUAUUGCAAGAAGUCAUAUGACACACUUGUCUAUGUGCAAAUUGUUCUCUUAGCAUGCAUUUUAAUUACCAAAUCUGAAGGGGGCUCACUACAAGACAAACUGAAAGGAGUGAUUAGUCAUAAAUAUCCCUUACUAAGCAUAAAAAUGUUGACAAAAUAUUUAUUAUCUUGUUUGAGCAGAUAUUUAACACAGAUUUCUUGUUAAAAAACAUUGUGACUGUUUCUAAUUAUAAAUUUGAGCAAUACCAUCUCAAAACACUUAUAAAAGUAGUCUUACAUAAUGCAUAUUAAUAAGGUGGUCUUAGUAGGCUUCAUAUAAACCAGUAUUUGGUUUGGAACAUUGAUAUUAUACAUUUGUCAUGUCAUAUACUAUCAUUUCUUACCAUAAGUUUAUUUGAAUUUUUUGUUUUUAAGAAAUUACAAUGUACUUUUUUUUUUUUUUUUGAAAAAAAAAGGCAUCUUUCAUCAAAAAUAUUCAAGUUAUAUAUAUUCUUUUACUGGUAUGCAAACUUAUCAUUUCAUCUGACAAUCUUUAUCAGCCUCUUUGCUCACAAUGUGUCCUCCAUCACUAACAUCCCCAAAGCCAUCAGAUUAAUAGCAUUAAUCUCUCCUGUUAAAGCAGUGUAACCAUUAGCUUGUACUCUGUUUUCAGGUUUCUCACAGUAUAAAAUACAUUAGCUGUCUUGAUAGUACAACUUAAUUCUUUGUUAUUGAACAGAAUAACUUUCUGUGACCUUUUAAUCAGUUGGAGUUGAGGGUGUCAUAUAUCAAAAUAGAGAUAUAUUUAAGAUCAGGUAUCAUUAGAACCUUUGUCAAUAUGUUGAUGCAAGUCUUUUCCAUUAGUGAUGCUAUAUUGAUGCAAGAACAUUGAAAAUAUUUCUGGACAAGGCAGAUGUACUACACUAUAUUCAGAACAGCUAAUUCUACAUAGAUAACAUCAAGUCCUGUACCUGUACAGUUCUUGUGCAGCAUUGUAUAAUUGUCUUCUUAUGCCCAUUCUUGGUACAACUGCAAUUUUCCCUUCAUAUUCUGAGUUACAAUUCUUACCUAUAAUAUGAAGAAUUAAAAUGAAUGGCAAUAAUUAAGAUAGAACAGAAACAAGAUAGAAUAAAACCUUGUUCACAUGUCUGACCCAUACUAGAUCAGUUGUAAAAUGGUCAUAAUUAAGGAAAUCAUUCUGCAGUACCCAAGAGGGUUUGUGCUUCUUUAAGUCCAUUGUGUCAGCUCUCACCUAUUUUUUUAUUCUUUUUAACACAUGAUUGUCCAAUACAAUGGUCAAUCAAUUUUAUAAAAACAACUGUGUAACUCCAGGCAGUUAUUUUAGAACUGUGAUCAGUUGCUACUAAUUCUUCAGUUUAUUUUGCUGGGGCUUUUUUGCUGUGUCAGUGAUUCCAUCUUUUUUUUUAAAGUAAUUCAGUGAUCACUGGUAGAGAAUGAAAAAGGUGUGUCACGUGUCCCUAAAUCUGUUUGGAUGACUUCCUUAAUGAGGCCAGAGUAAUUCUUGUGGGUAAUUAAACUAAUUUUCAUUUGGAAAUUGCUGAACUCCCUAGUCAGAAGGUUCUGUUUAUUGGGAAUUUUAAUGGUUGUGUAAUGCAUCAUUUUUGUUCAAAUCACACAUGAGAAAGUAACUAAAUUGUCAUGGCUAAUUUUUCAAACUUGAGUUCAUGCAGAAAACAGUAACCUGAGUGGUUAUCAAAAUGCUGAGACAUAAUCUUAUGCACUUUCUUCUUGUUCAAAUAAAAUUACUGAUUUCAAAAUACAUCUAUGUAUUUUAUUCUACAAAUAGAAAAUUAUGUAUGCACCUCAACACAUUUUCUGAAGCUCUUAUAGUCUAUAUUUCUUUCACAUAAUCUAUGUAUUUGUUGGUGAUAAGUUAAACUACCAUUCUCAGAGAAUUCUUUACUGCAAAUAUCACAGUAGUAUGGUUUUUUGCAUGUGUGAAUACAUUUGUGGAAAGAUAAUUACAGAAUUUUAUUUAAUGUCAGUACUGCCACAGCUUAUCUCCUGUGUACACAUUGUAUCACAGAUAUCACUCUUUGUCAUUAAUUGCAAGACAUAUGGCAAAUUAGCUGAAAAUUCUCAUAGAAUCUUUGCAGCAAAUACAUUUGAAUAUAUUAUUAGCAAAUUUCACAAAGGAGAAAAUUUGAACUUGUAAUUUAUGUUCAAUGAGGGUAAGAAUGUUUUGGAUUUUUUUUUCAGUAUAGAGGAAGCAUGGUAACAUGACCUAUUUAUAGGACUUCUGAAAUUGUUGAUAUCUGAAGACUGGAGAUUUGGUCAGAAUGUUAGAAAUGUAUCCAGUCCCUAGGUUGAUAAGAUAAAUCACUAUUUUCAGACCAUGUUUUGGCAUGAUAUCAACUCUUAAAGUCUCUCUUACUAUUAUGUCUUCAGUACAGAAGUAUUUCCUGUGUUCUGUAUUUUGUAAUGUCCACUACACCAGUGAAUAUGCAAUCUAGAGUUUAAUUGCCAUCACACUUCAAUGUAUUAUUCCACAGUUAUUAAUCUUUCUGUCAUAUAAAAAGAUAUUUUGUGUUAUGAAGGAAGAUGAAAUAUGGUCGAUAUUUUCUACUCUAAUAAGUGACUUAUUUCAGAGAUAUGGAAAUCUUAUUCCAAAUUUUUGUCCUCUAAGACGUCAUCAAAUAAAUGGGCUACAGUUCUUGAAGUAUAUCCAGAUGUAACUCUUGAUGAAAAAUCCUUGCAAUACACCACGAUGUCACGUGGUCGCACCAGUUGAUCCUGUCAUUUCUUAUCACCCACGAACUUUGCUACUGGACAUUCUACCUAUCUACCCUUUACGGAUUCUCUUUUGGAUACUUACCCUCCGGCUGCACCUCUCGUACCUACGGAUCACUGUGUACUCUACUCUUGAUUUAAAAUAUAUGAUUCAACUGUAACCUAAUAUUUCUUUCUUUUCUUUGAGAUACUACCACAUAUAACUUAAGUAACUAAAUGUCUUAUCCAUUGAAUGACUUUCAUUGUUAAUUUUUCAUGUUUAAACAUCUCACAAUCAUCCAGAAGUCUUUUUUUUCUCUGCCAUAUGGAAUUAUCUGUAAUUAAUUUUAAAUCUUUAAAAUCAAUUUUAAUAAAGCCUUAUAAAUUAUGAUAUUGAUAA